rnacentral:rRNA from 1 species
GAUCUGAAAUCAGGUAGGGCUACCCGCUGAACUUAAGCAUAUCAAUAAGCGGAGGAAAAGAAACUAACAAGGAUUCCCCCAGUAACGGCGAGUGAAGCGGGAAGAGCUCAAAUUUAAAAUCUGGUUUGCUUUGCAAAUCCGAGUUGUAGUCUGAAGAAACGUUUUCCAUGAAAGCUGAGGCACAAGUCCUUUGGAACAGGGCAUCAUAGAGGGUGAGAAUCCCGUCCAUGGUCUCAAGCCUUUCAUUUUGUGAUACGUUUUCUAAGAGUCAGGUUGUUUGGGAAUGCAGCCUAAAAUGGGUGAUAAAUUUCAUCUAAAGCUAAAUAUUGGCGAGAGACCGAUAGCGAACAAGUACCGUGAGGGAAAGAUGAAAAGAACUUUGAAAAGAGAGUUAAAAAGUACGUGAAAUUGUUGAAAGGGAACCGU